rnacentral:piRNA from 1 species
UAGUUGUAUGGAAAAGAAUGCACUAAA